UAAAGGUAAACACAAUAAAGGUAAACAC
rnacentral:sRNA from 1 species